rnacentral:lncRNA from 1 species
GUUUGGGAUUUGCUCUGGAUUUGGGAUUUGGGAUUUGCUCUGAGUUUGGGAUUUGCUCUGGGUUUGGGAUUUGGGAUUUGCUCUGGGUUUGGGAUUUGUUCUGGGUUUGGGAUUUGGGAUUUACUCUGGGUUUGGAGUUUGGGAUUUGCUCUGGAUUUGGGAUUUGGGAUNNNNNNNNNNUUUGCUCUGGAUUUGGGAUUUGGGAUUUGCUCUGAGUUUGGGAUUUGCUCUGGGUUUGGGAUUUGGGAUUUGCUCUGGGUUUGGGAUUUGUUCUGGGUUUGGGGUUUGUUCGGGAUUUGGGAUUUGUUCGGGAUUUGGGAUUUGUGCUGGGUUUGGGAUUUGGGAUUUGCUCUGAGUUUGGGGUUUGGGAUUUGUUCUGGGUUUGGGAUUUGGGAUUUGCUCUGGGUUUGGGAUUUGGGAUUUGCUCUGAGUUUGGGAUUUUCUCUGUGUUUGGAAUUUGGGAUUUUGCCCCGGAUUUGGGAUUUUCCUGGGUUUGACAUUUCCUUCUGGACGAAUCCAUCUCCGGCUGGAAUAAUUCUGGGUUCAUUUGCUUUUGGGGCAGGAAAAGGCAAUUUUGGGGUCUUUAUCUCUGUGGAAUUGUUUAAAUUCCCACUUUUUGGGGCAGGAAAAGGCGAUUUUGGGUCCUUAUUUCUCCAGAAUUGUUGUAAUUCUCCCCUUUUGGGGCAGGAAAAGGCGAUUUUGGGAUCUCUGUGUCACUCUAACUGCUGUAGCUCCCCUUUGGGGCAGCAAAAGGCAAUUUUGGGAUCUCUGUGUCACUCUAACUGCUGUAACUCCCCUUUGGGGCAGCAAGAGGCGAUUUUGGGCUCUUUAUUUCUCCGCAGUCGCUGUACUUCUCACCUUCUGGGAUUUCUCUUUUACUGGAAUUGUUGUAACUCUCACCUUUUGGGAUCUUUGUUUCUCCAGAAUCGCUGUACUUCUCACCUUCUGGGAUCUCUGUGUCACUCUAACUGCUGUAACUCCC